GAUGAAGAACGCAGCGAAAUGCGAUAAGUAAUGUGAAUUGCAGAAUUCAGUGAAUCAUCGAAUCUUUGAACGCACAUUGCGCCCGCCAGUAUUCUGGCGGGCAUGCCUGUUCGAGCGUCAUUACAACCCUCAGGCCCCCGGGCCUGGCGUUGGGGAUCGGCGGAAGCCCCCUGCGGGCACAACGCCGUCCCCCAAAUACAGUGGCGGUCCCGCCGCAGCUUCCAUUGCGUAGUAGCUAACACCUCGCAACUGGAGAGCGGCGCGGCCACGCCGUAAAACACCCAACUUCUGAAUGUUGACCUCGAAUCAGGUAGGAAUACCCGCUGAACUUAAGCAAAUCAAUAAGCGGAGGA
rnacentral:misc_RNA from 1 species